rnacentral:rRNA from 1 species
AGCGAAAGCAUUUGCCAAGGAUGUUUUCAUUAAUCAAGAACGAAAGUUAGGGGAUCGAAGACGAUUAGACACCGUCGUAGUCUUAACUAUAAACUAUGCCGACCAGGGAUAUGAGGAUCUUUAUUUAUACUAUUAAGUUAGUAUAAUUCCUUGUGCACCUUGUGAGAAAUCAUAAGUGUUUGGGUUCUGGGGGGAGUAUGGUCGCAAGGCUGAAACUUAAAGGAAUUGACGGAGGGGCACCACCAGGAGUGGAGCCUGCGGCUUAAUUUGACUCAACACGGGAAAACUUACCAGGUCCAGACAUUUGAAGGAUUGACAGGUUGAUAGCCCUUUCUUGAUUAAAUGGGUGGUGGUGCAUGGCCGUUCUUAGUUGGUGGAGUGAUUUGUCUGGUUAAUUCCGAUAACGAACGAGACCUCUGCCUUUAAAUUUAGAGGCAAUAACAGGUCUGUGAUGCCCA